AGUUAAAUUAAUAUAAAAUAAAUGGAGUAAAGUUAAUGAAUAAAAAGUUAGAUUAAUAAUGAACAAAUAAGAUAAUACAAUAAAAUAAAAUCUUGAAAAACAAAAUUAAAUUAAAUGUUUAGAAAAUAAAAUAAAAUAAAAUAAAGUAAAAUAAAAUAAAAUAAAAUAAAAUAAAAUAAAAUGAAAUUAAAUUAGAUUAAAUUAAAUUAAAUCAAAUCCCCUUUGGGAUGGGCAGGCUCGGGGGGAUCCGAAAUUCCCAAAGAAAAUUCCCGAGGGGCGUCCGUGGACGAGGAGUUUUAAAAAAAUAUCUUUGAAACCAUCUGAGCUUAAAAAUAGACGCGAGUGAAGCUUAAAAUGCACCCGGAGCCGCCGGGGGAGUCCCUGGAGCUGCUGCUGGAGGUUCCGGAUGGUUCUGGAAGCCUUGGGGGGAUCCAGAGGGGCCCUCGGGGCGGUUCUGGAGGUUCCGGAGGAGUUCCAAAGGUUCUGGAGGGGAUCCAGAGGGGUCCUUGGAGUGGUUCUGGAGGUUCUGGAGGCUCUGGAGAAGUUCCAGAAGUUCUGGAGGAGAUCCAGAGGGGCCCUCGGAGCAGUUCUGGAGGUUCUGGAGGCUCUGGAGAAGUUCCAGAAGUUCUGGAGGAGAUCCAGAGGAGUCCUCAGAGCGGUUCUGGAGGAGUUCUGGAGGCUCUGGAGAAGUUCCAGAAGUUCUGGGUGGUCCUGGAGGAGAUCCAGAGGGGCCCUUGGAGCGGUUCUGGAGGUUCUGGAGAGGUUGGAAUGGAUCCAGAGGUGUCCUUGUAGUGGUUUCGGAGGUUCUGGAUGGUUCUGGAGGAGUUCCAAAGGUUCUUGGAGGCCUUUGGGUGGUUCUGGAUGGUUCUGGAUGGUUCUGGAUGGUCAUGGAGGGGAUCCAGAGGAGUCCCUGGAGUGGUGCCAGAGGUUAAGGAGAAGUCCCGGAGGUUCUGGAUGGUUCUGGAGGGGUUGGGAUGAGUCCAGAAGAGUCCUUGGAAUGGUUUUGAAGAUGUCCCAGAGGUUCUGGAUGGUUCUGGAGGGGAUCCAGAGGGGUCCUCAGAGAGGUUCUGGAAUGUUCCAGAGGAGUUCCAAACGUUCUGGAAGUCUCAGAAUGGAUCCAGAGGGGUCCUUGGAACGGUUCUGGAGGUUCUGGAGGAGUUGGAAUGGAUCCAGAGGGGUCCAUGGAACGGUUCUGGAGGUUCUGGAGGGAUUGGAAUUACUCCACAGGUGUCCUUGGAGCAGUUCCGGACCCCCAGGUUCAAUUCCGGACCUCCUGGAGAGGUUCUGGACCUCCAGGAUCAACUCUGGAUCUCCUGGAUCAGUUCUGGAUUGAUUCUGGAUCGCAUAGAUCAAUUCUCAAUCUCCUGGCUCAAUUCUGGAUCAGUUCUGGAUCUCCUGGAGCGGUUCUGAACCUCCAGGAUUGAUUCUGGGUCUCCUGGAUCGGUUCUGGAUCUAUUCUGGAUCUCCUGGGUCGGUUCUGGAUCUAUUCUGGAUCUCCUGGAGAGGUUCUGAACCUCCAGGAUCAAUUCUGGAUCUCCUGGAGCGGUUCUGGAUCCCCUGGAUCAGUUCUGAACCUCCAGGAUCAAUUCUGGAUCUCCUGGAUGGGUUCUGGAUCUCCUGGAGCAGUUCUGGAUCACCUGGUGAGGUUCUGGAGCGUUUCUGGAUCUCCUGGAGCGUUUCUGGAUCUCCUGGAGCGGUUCUGAACCUCCAGGAUUAAUUCUGGAUCUCCUGGCUCAAUUCUGGAUCUCCUGCGAGGUUCUGGAUCUCCUGCGAGGUUCUGGAUCUCCUGGCUCAAGUCUGAACCUCCAGGAGCGGUUCUGGAUCGGUUCUGGAUCUGCAGGAUCUGUUCUGGAUCUCCUGGGUCGGUUCUGGAUCUGCAGGAUCGGUUCUGAACCUCCAGGAGCGGUUCUGGGUUGGUUCUGGAUCUCCUGGAUCGGUUCUGAACCUCCAGGACUGAUUCUGGAUCUCCUGGGUCGGUUCUGGGUUGGUUCUGGAUCUCCUGGAUCAGUUCUGGAUCUCCUGGAUCGGUUCUGAACCUCCAGGGCUGAUUCUGGAUCUCCUGGGUCGGUUCUGGGUCGGUUCUGGAUCUCCUGAGAGGUUCUGGGUCGGUUCUGGAUCUCCUGGACGGGUUCUGAACCUCCCCGCUGAACCCCGGCCCUCCACCCCCUCCUGUCCCCCACCUGCCCCAGCCUCACGACCCCACCUCCGCCCCCUCCCCUUUCUCG
rnacentral:lncRNA from 14 species